CAGUGCCAACACACAUCAUGCGCACACAAUGCCUUCUCACCGAAGACAGCACCAUACAGCCGGCACCACAGACGCAGUGACUGUAGGCUAGUCCUCGAGACUAGGGAGGAAAAGUGAGAUGAAGCUCAACCUUGAACUGACUGUGAAGAUGUUAAAAAUCCCAUCUUUUUUAUCCCUAAAGCCAAGCAGAGCAUCUCUCCAUCCCAGGAUAGUUACUUCAGCCAUGGUAUAUCCUCCGACCACAGUAUAGACAUGAAGUCAUUUGAAACCAUUUCCCUUUUUAACAUAUGCUGGCUGUAAAGCUAUGCAACAUGCCAAAAAAAUGUCUGCUCCGCCAGUUUGUGGUUUUUUUUCCAAAUUAGCGGAGGCAUAUGGGGAAAAAAAACUACGUUUAGUUCAGGGAAUGAGCCUGUAAAACACAUUAUAUGAAGCUAUAGUGUGUCUUUCUGAAGUUAUACUCUGUCCUCUAAUGGUUUAAUGUGUUUUCACUGGGCACAGUUGGAACAUUUGGAAAAUGGACGAUGUUUUAAACCUCUCCUUGGCAGAGAGUGUUGACAGUUUAGGUGCCAGGGGGAACUGCUUGUGAUCUGACUGUUUUUUAAAGUGAGAUGAUAACGGCUGUGUGCAUUAGCAACAAUGGAAGUGUUACUAAGUUCUGAAAAUCUUGUGAAAAAUACUUUUAAUCUAGAAUGAGAGAAAUGUCCUCUUUCUUUCUAGAAUUUUUCAUAGGGUAUGAAGGUGAACAUCACUGGGCAGAUCGUAAAUCCUUCUCUUCUGCUCUCUCUGUGUCCAAGAUUUAUCAGAUGGCCGGUGCGCAACGUGUUUGCAUUGGCUUCAGGUGCUUUUGGCUUCAGAAUACCUCCUCUGGCUAUUCUGGGUGCAAGACAAACAGUGUGAUUACAUAGACGAGCGGAUACCCACACGAACAUGGUUGCCAUGACAAUGAGGCCAAGCAGGCUUGAGCUCUAGUGGCUACAUAAAACAAUGUUUACUGCAGUGCCAGUAACAGCAUAGCAGUACAGUCUAAAUGAAAGCAGGUGAGAUAAAAUCUGUGAUAAAUGCAGACAGCAGACAUCCAAAUUAUUUGACCAUUAUACGUAAGGUCAGUUCAUAAAAAAAGUAUCAAAUGUAGUUAGUAACAAUGUAAAAGACUUUUAAAAAUAUGAUACUUUUUAAGUGAUUCUGUUUUAGAACUCAUUUUUAAUCCAGUCUGUCGAGUACCAGUGACAGAUUACAUGUGACACAUGUAAUCGUUGUAGACAGCCCCCUAUGUAUGUUAAACACAUGAAAUGCAAAACACAGAUCUUUCUCACUGUAUCUAAAAAUUGUGAUCUGUACUUCCCAGUGAUAACCACAUCAAAGCCCCAAAGUCCAUUUUUUAAAGCAGAGAACAGAACUUUUAGUGUCCUCAAGAGGCAAAAAUAAAAUUCAGUAUCACCCAUUCAUUGCUCUUCUAUUACUUUAAAAAUGAUACGAAUUCUGCAUUUUGGGGGGAAUGCUGCAGAGGAAAUUGCUCAUUUCUGUUUUUUUGACAUUUCCUGCUUCACCCUUGGUAUAAAGCUCAGCUAUCCUCUCUUUCAGCCACCUAAAAUUCGCCCAAGAGGCCUUUUUCUGCCAUUUUUUACCCAUUUUUGAAAAGUGAGAAGGCAAACUGGUGUGUCUCUCUGGAGGCAGAGUCAGCGGAUAAACAGUGAGCCGAGUGCACAGCGUGCAGCUAAAAGGAAGCUUCCACUCCCAGAGUCUUGCUGUUUUCUUCCUUCCUCUUAUGCAUACACAACACCCAAGCACAAUUUAUCCUGGGACUGAUAUGGGUCUCUAGAUAGCUGACAGCAUUUCCUUCUUUUAAGGUUCUUUUAUAUUUUAGUCUCAUGUUUCUGUGUAUUUGUUCACAUCUCAGAAUGUUCAAAGUAAAUGCAAGAGAACUGAAUCAAACCCUACUGGGUGCAUGCUGGGUGCUGACCCAGGUCCAAAACCUGACUUAAGCUAAACAAAAUCUAGAGGAUAAAAAGACAAAGGCCAGAGAGACUGACUGCAGUUCAGCUGAAUCAAUAAAGUUAAGCUUUAUUUUGUUAUGCAAUAUGCCUUCUAGAAAAAAUGUUUGUCUUUUUUUCCUUGUAAAGUCAAAAUGUUCAAAAAUUAACAGAUUAUGUUCAUUGAUGUGGGCGAUAUAUAUCAUGAAGUAUGUAAAUUAUACGAGUGUGUCUAAUAAUUAAAGCUAUUUUAAAU
ensembl:lncRNA